rnacentral:rRNA from 1 species
GAUGAACGCUGGCGGCGUGCCUAAUACAUGCAAGUCGAGCGAACGGACGAGAAGCUGGCUUCUCUGAUGUUAGCGGAGGACGGGUGAGUAACACGUGGAUAACCUACCUAUAAGGCUGGGAUAACUUCGGAAAACCGGAGAUAAUACCGGAUAAUAUUUUGAACCGCAUGGUGCAAAAGUGAAAGACGGUCUUGCUGUCACUUAUAGAUGGAUCCGCGCCUGAUUAGCUAGUUGGUAAGGUAACGGCUUACCAAGGCAACGAUGCAUAGCCGACCUGAGAGGGUGAUCGGCCACACUGGAACUGAGACACGGUCCAGACUCCUACGGGAGGCAGCAGUAGGGAAUCUUCCGCAAUGGGCGAAAGCCUGACGGAGCAACGCCGCGUGAGUGAUGAAGGUCUUCGGAUCGUAAAGCUCUGUUAUUAGGGAAGAACAUAUGUGUAAGUAACUGUGCACAUCUUGACGGUACCUAAUGAGAAAGCCACGGCUAACUACGUG